rnacentral:rRNA from 1 species
CUACGGGUCGCUCCAGUGGGGAAUAUUGGACAAUGGGGGAAACCCUGAUCCAGCAAUGCCGCGUGUGUGAAGAAGGCCUGCGGGUUGUAAAGCACUUUCGGUUGGGAGGACUGCUUCUAGCACUAAUAUUGUUGGAAGUUGACGUUACCUUCAGAAGAAGCACCGGCUAACUCCGUGCCAGCAGCCGCGGUAAUACGGAGGGUGCAAGCGUUUAUCGGAAUUACUGGACGUAAAGCGCGCGUAGGCGGCUAGAUCAGUCGGGUGUGAAAGCCCCGGGCUUAACCUGGGAACUGCAUCCGAUACUGUCUAGCUUGAGUACAGGAGAGGAGAGUGGAAUUCCACAUGUAGCGGUGAAAUGCGUAGAUAUGUGGAGGAACACCAAUGGCGAAGGCAGCUCUCUGGCCUGAUACUGACGCUGCGGUGCGAAAGCGUGGGGAGCAAACAGGAUUAGAUACCCCCGUAGUC